UACGAAGGGGGCUAGCGUUGCUCGUAAUGACUGGGCGUAAAGGGCGCGUAGGCGGAUGGCACAGUCAGAUGUGAAAUUCCCGGGCUUAACCUGGGGGCUGCAUUUGAUACGUGUGAUCUAGAGUGAGGAAGAGGGUCGUGGAAUUCCCAGUGUAGAGGUGAAAUUCGUAGAUAUUGGGAAGAACACCGGUGGCGAAGGCGGCGACCUGGUCCUUGACUGACGCUGAGGCGCGAAAGCGUGGGGAGCAAACAGG
rnacentral:rRNA from 1 species